ACAGACACACACACACACACACAGACACACACACACACACAGUGACUCUCCACUGAUUCAGGGUGAUAAAACAAGGGAAAGGAGAUUAUUUGUUAUUAGCUCCUGUGUGUGUGUGUAGUAAGAAUUAGCACCGAUCAAUAAUUUAUUGAUACCAGCGUUCAACCUCACUGAUGACUCAAUAUAUCACACACACACACACACACACACACACACACACUGUAAGAGGCUGAAUUAACAGCCAUAAUCUCCCUCAAUUACACACUAAUUGGACCUGUGGAUACUGGUGGCGUGUGACUGCAGAGUGUGUGUGUGUGUGUGUGUGUGUGUGUGUGUGUGUGUGUGUAGCAGGUUUCACAUUCUUGCCUCAUCGUUGUCCAGUGAACAGGAAGUGACAUCACAAGGAGUGAGAAGGACAUAGAGACCUGUCAAUCAGCGUGUAGCCCCGCCCUAAAUCAUCCCCUGCUUUAUGGUCCGUUUCCCUUUAAAUCAGUGGUUCUCGACUGGCGGGACCCGUUUUAAAGGCCUCUGCCUGGGAGAAUGAGAAGGGGAAUUAACAGAUGGCUCUUUUGCUUUUUCAUUAAACUUGUUUUGUGUUGUCGUACGUAUUCUGUCUCAGGUUCAAACUGCACCAUGUUUUCAUUAAAUAAAUUUGAGAAGUUGAGAAUGUUCCUGGAUUUGGGUCGCGGUUCGUCAUUAGGGGUGAUGGGGGGUCCCGGAGCCAGACCACAGAACCACUGCUUUAAAUGGACCAUAAUGUACUAAAUGAAGUACAUGAACGUCGUGCUGUAUUGAAGAAGACUUGAAACUAGAGACUGAGACCAGUUCUGGAUCCAAACCCCCCCAGAUGGUCCGGACUUUCUGGAGGACUGUUGACAUAUUCUCAUUCUGUGUCUCACGUCUUUUCUUUCUGUCUCUUAUGUUAGCGCCCGCCGGUCGGGACGGAUGGCGAGGCGUUCCGUUGGUUCUUCUAGCCUUCGCUCCGCUAUCUGUGGAACAGGAAGUCACCGCCGCACACGGACUACAAAUCCAGCUCACUGGUUGAAGAAUGAAGGACUACAACUUGCGACAGGAUUACAAUUCCAUACGAGAAAUCCUGUCUGGACUGGGAACCAGUUUGGAGCCCAGAGGCUGGAGGGUGGGAUGGGAGGUUUGGGGGGGGGUCUGGGAGUUUGGUCACGAGCAACAUGAAUUGACCAAUCGACAUAUUCUGUCAAAUGGUUGGCGUUUUUUGGCGGUAACCAGUGUUGCCGACUUCAGAAUGACAUCAUCUCUGUUAUUGGACAACGCUCCUCUCCCAUUGGUCACCCCGGCCGUAGCAGAGGUGAGAUGUUGAGGAGGCCCGGUACCUUCUGGGCGGAGACUUGUUGGUACCUGAUGAAUCUCCUCGACGGAUCAAACUCUCAAAAUGAUCUCAUCACUUUGGCCAAGUCCAGGAGACCCGAGCAGCAGACCCGCCUCCUCCUCCCUCUCCUGCCUCCUAGCCUCCUAGCCUCCUAACCCCGUCGUAGCCUCACCUGGGGGAGUCAGGCCUUGAGUGGACCGUCUGCUAUUUUAUCACAGAACCUUUUACAGUUUGACCAAAACCGGACGACAAGUUGACCUCACAGGGAAGAGUUGAGCGCGGGUACGACCCAGGAGCCUCGGCAGGAAGUGACUUUCCCACAGUUAGGACUCCAACUACCACAUCACUGUUAGCGUCUCUUCUGUCUACCUCCUCCUGUCCUGACGGACACCUUGGUGGAUGUGUUUGUGAUCUGCUUCUUAACUCUCUAGAAGGUCCAGAGCUGCCCCCCCCCACCCGACCCCUCCUCACGGAACCCGGUUUCUUUAGUUAUUAAUGCACUGCUCGGUCUCUAAACGGUUUUAAUAUUCCUCUGGAUUUCAACAGAAAGUUCUCAGGGCGCAGUUUUAUACGGACUAAAGCAGACUGGAAAGACAACUUUGUGGUAUUUUUGUAUUUACGUAAAAAGCAGAAGGAAGAAUUGUGAUUAAAAUCAUUUCAGGUGAAGUUUCCCUUUGAAUCUGACCUGUUCAUUGACACAUCCAGUCCCAGACUGCGUCAGUGAGGCCUUCACCUGGACCGCAGAGACUUCAGAACCAGCUCCUCUGGCCUUUGACCUGGGCAGGUUGAGCCGCUGGGCAUCUUCUGGGAGGACGUGUGGGCCGAGAGCAGCACGGGAACAUCAGAACGUCCCGAACUAUCAACGCGUCGGGUCCAGUUCUUCUGCUGUGGAACCUUUUUGAAACCAUGAGAAAUAUCAUGAUGAAGAUGUUAAAGAUCGCUUUGUGGUUCUCUACUUAUACUACGCUGCGUAGUACUACAAGUACAGUACGCCUUACUCCACGUAUACUACGUACACUACAAUGUACAUGUGUAUACUAAACUGUACACUACGUGUACUACUUCGUAUUCAAGUACUACAAAUUUGAUUCUACUGGUUUGAACCCAUUGAUUCUUAAACCCUCCAUGGACCACCGGUUCAGACCUUCAUGCACCCCAGAAGAUGAACCAUUCUUCUUCAUCGGUUUCUCUUCAACAAGGAAGCAAGGAAGGGGCGCUUGUUUUCGUUGUAUUCGUCCUUGUGUAUCAAAUUGUAAUAAAAGCAUUUCAAAGACAGUGAUGGAUGCACACACACACUAUGGAUAUCAGGUGAUUGCAUCAAAAGGCUGUGCGCGUGUGUGUGUGUGUGUGCGUGUGCGUGUGCGUGACGGAGAUAGCAGCCAUGAAGAUGAACAAUAUGUUUGCGUGUUUGCCACAAGAUGGAAGCUGCGCGUGUGUGUGUGUGUGUGUGUGUGAAGUUGUGUGUGCGUGUCAUCUCAGUGAUGGUGUUCCUAUCAGGGAGGCAGAAAGACGACUGGUUGUCCCUGACGACGUGCGCCAUGUUGCCCGGCAACAGCACUAACAAUGGC
ensembl:lncRNA